UUUACGGAGAGUUUGAUCCUGGCUCAGGACGAACGCUGGCGGCGUGCUUAACACAUGCAAGUCGAACGGUGACGAGGGAGCUUGCUCCUUCUGAUCAGUGGCGAACGGGUGAGUAACACGUGAGUAACCUGCCCUUGACUCUGGGAUAAGCACUGGAAACGGUGUCUAAUACCGGAUACGAACUUCAGCCG
rnacentral:rRNA from 3 species